GAUGAAUAACGUCGCGAAAUGCGAUACGUAAUGUGAAUUGCAGAAUUCAGUGAAUCAUCGAGUCUUUGAACGCACAUUGCGCCCCCUGGUAUUCCGGGGGGCAUGCCUGUCCGAGCGUCAUUGCUGCCCUCAAGCACGGCUUGUGUGUUGGGCCUCCGUCCUCCUCCCGGGGGACGGGCCCGAAAGGCAGCGGCGGCACCGCGUCCGGUCCUCGAGCGUAUGGGGCUUCGUCACCCGCUCUUGUAGGCCCGGCCGGCGCUUGCCGACACAUCAAUCUUUUUUCCAGGUUGACCUCGGAUCAGGUAGGGAUACCCGCUGAACUUAAGCAUAUCAAUAAGCGGAGGA
rnacentral:misc_RNA from 1 species